GAAACCCCCAAAAAAAACCCUUCCGGAAGGGGGGACUGCGGAGGGAUCAUUACCGAGUUUACAACUCCCAAACCCAAUGUGAACGUUACCAAACUGUUGCCUCGGCGGGGUCACGCCCCGGGUGCGUCGCAGCCCCGGAACCAGGCGCCCGCCGGAGGAACCAACCAAACUCUUUCUGUAGUCCCCUCGCGGACGUAUUUCUUACAGCUCUGAGCAAAAAUUCAAAAUGAAUCAAAACUUUCAACAACGGAUCUCUUGGUUCUGGCAUCGAUGAAGAACGCAGCGAAAUGCGAUAAGUAAUGUGAAUUGCAGAAUUCAGUGAAUCAUCGAAUCUUUGAACGCACAUUGCGCCCGCCAGUAUUCUGGCGGGCAUGCCUGUCCGAGCGUCAUUUCAACCCUCGAACCCCUCCGGGGGAUCGGCGUUGGGGAUCGGGACCCCUCACACGGGUGCCGGCCCCUAAAUACAGUGGCGGUCUCGCCGCAGCCUCUCCUGCGCAGUAGUUUGCACAACUCGCACCGGGAGCGCGGCGCGUCCACGUCCGUAAAACACCCAACUUUCUGAAAUGUUGACCUCGGAUCAGGUAGGAAUACCCGCUGAACUUAAGCAUAUCAAAGUGGGGAAAGGAAG
rnacentral:rRNA from 1 species